CAGUGCCUCACAUGUGCUAGGCUAGUGCUCUACCACUGAGCCACAACCAGUCCUGCUACUUUAUUUUUAGUACUUGGAAUGUAAGUCUUAUCUCAACUGUUAGAUUCUGAGCUGCUUGUCUUACAUCUCUAUAUUUCCUGAAUAACUUCCUCUAUGCUUGAUAUAUAAUAAGAAAUCAACAGUAAGUACUUAUGAGUGACUAAACUGCCAUCAGUGGGGACAAGGGAUCUUUGAUGUCCUCACAACAAAUCAACAACAGCUACUGGGAACAUGGAGGGAUCACACUAAUUCCUAUAAAGUACAUCAUAGACAUCCCCCAGGGCCCUUGUUACACCCCUCAGAUACUGCUAGUCAAUCAUGGCACUCUUUUCUCUCUGAACAUGGAUAUGGCAUCUGAGCCUGGUCAGCACAGUACCAAAGAGCCACCUCCAUUGAUUGGAGUUCACAAUGGAGAAUGAGCUUUAUUUUUUCCAGCUAGAUCUAAGGGCCCCAUUUUACAGAGGAGGAAACAAAGGCCAAGAGAAGUCCAGAGAUAGAAUCAGGUAGAGCAAUUCCUGAAAACAGCUAAGUAGCCAAUCUAGGCACAGCAUACAUUCAUCUACAGCACUGCAUGAUACUUUGCUAGAAGCCCCUGUGAGAUCUUAACCAGAUCUUUAGUCCUACUUCAUUGGUUCCAAAAACCAAUCUUGAGACUCUGGGAACUUGGGGACUCUCCACUCAGUUCAAGAGUGACUCCUUGAAAUUUAGAGAUGUACUCUUCAUGUCAGGUCAAUUUCACCAUGUGGGCCAGCAGAAGGCCGAGGGACCAGGCAGGUCAGGGGUGAAUCCCACUUCUGUAUCUAUUAGCAGGCAAGUCACAUCUGUGAACCCCAGCUGCAAAAACCUAUAAAAUGGGGAUAGUUAGACUCAUCGCACAAGGUGACUGCAGGGGACCCUUGAAGAUAGUCAGUAAAUGUGAGUCUCCCCUUCCUUGCAGUGUGGGGAAGUAAGGACAUUCAGGGGGCCUCUUUGCUCUUACCCUCCACAAACACAAACACUUUCUCCCCAUCUCUAAGGUAGGCUUUCCUUUUGAGGUUAUUUAACUGAGAUAUACAAUACGUUAAUGAGUAUUAGUCUGCCAGUAAUCAUUUAUAAAUUAUAAUACUAAAUUGAAAGAAAGAAGUGGAACUUCUUCCUUAAUCCUGGACUGUCAUCCCCAGUGCUUAAGCCUCAGGCACAGUGGUUUUCAGCUGGUCUGUUCUAACUUAGGGGCCUGUGCUGAGCUCUGCAGAGGUGACUGGGACUGUGGACCAGGGGAGCACUGUGUCAGCACCGGGUGUGGACAUGAUUGUGCUUCUGACUAAACACAGUUUCUGCCUGCAAUGAUGGGACUGUCUGGAGAUUCUUGACUGGAAAGAGAAAUGAAAAUCAGGACCUGUGGAUGGAGACUACAAGUAGUAUGGAGGAAGGGAAGAGGAGGUGUUUGUUUCAAUAAAUAAUCACUUUAAAAGCA